AUUGAACGCUGGCGGCAUGCUUUACACAUGCAAGUCGAACGGUAACAGGUUAAGCUGACGCGUGGCGAACGGGUGAGUAAUGCAUCGGAACGUGCCCGGUCGUGGGGGAUAACGCAGCGAAAGCUGCGCUAAUACCGCAUACGAUCUAAGGAUGAAAGCGGGGGACCGUAAGGCCUCGCGCGAUCGGAGCGGUCGAUGUCAGAUUAGGUAGUUGGUGGGGUAAAGGCUCACCAAGCCAACGAUCUGUAGCUGGUCUGAGAGGACGACCAGCCACACUGGGACUGAGACACGGCCCAGACUCCUACGGGAGGCAGCAGUGGGGAAUUUUGGACAAUGGGCGAAAGCCUGAUCCAGCAAUGCCGCGUGCAGGAAGAAGGCCUUCGGGUUGUAAACUGCUUUUGUACGGAGCGAAAAAGCCUUGGCUAAUACCCAGGGUCCAUGACGGUACCGUAAGAAUAAGCACCGGCUAACUACGUGCCAGCAGCCGCCGUAA
rnacentral:rRNA from 1 species